GCUCCUUUGCCUGUCACUCAAGCUCAGGCGAAGUGAAGGCCUGGUGAGGUCUCUUUGUUCCUUUCCCAGCUGGAGGGUCCUGAGGCUCUGGCCGAAGUCCUAGCCUCUGCUGACUGCUAUGACCCGGGUUUGGGUGCUCGAUGGAUCAAAGCUUCCUUGUGCUCUGAAAAUCCAGAGCAGUUCAAGUGCAUGUCAAAUCCUGCAGCAAAUUGGAGACUACAUACUGCUAUGUCGUGGGAACUUACAAGUCAAGGAGGAAGGGGAAACAGCCGUUUACUGGCGUAGCUCAGCCUGCCACGUUCUGCUCAUGAAACGAGGAGGUACCUGGAGUUUGAAAUGUUAACGGCAGCGCUGCUCAUACACGCCCUUCAGACCGACUGAAACUGUGGGGACUGAAACAGUUCUCUCUCUUCCGCAGGAAAACACGAGUGAAUAGUCCCCCUUGGAGGGGAGCGCACGGGGAGCGCACCACGGAGGCAUGGGCGAGGGCUGCGGCUGUCCAGCGCGGGCGGCAGAUGCAGGUUUCACGAAACACGUUAGGGCAGGGCUGGUCUUCAGCAUAACCCUGAGAUUGGCAAAUGUAACCCCUGAGCCUCUUGGCUCGUUUUUACAUCUGCUCCAUCUCCUCGUGUGGCUCCUGCUCCCACGCCUGGCGCCCCGCGCACGGCCGCUCUCACUCCGAGUUCCGAAGCAUCUCCUGCGCCAGGCUCCCAGUGAAAUCCGGCCGUCCCGUGGGGCCUCCUUAGUGGCUGAAUGUUUGUUAAUGGGGUAAACUACUUUUGUGAUAUUAAACUUGGAUGGAACAGGUGAUAUUUUGCCUUUCGACAGGGAUCACCAUGGUUUUAUCUCAUCGAGGAAACACACGGUGAGAACUCAGAUUGGGGCACGGGCUGUAAAAUUACGCUUUUAAAAAAGCAACCUCAGCAUUUCUCAGAGAGAACGGUGUCCGUCCCGGUGAGGGAAGGCUUACAUGUCUUUUUAAACAAGAUUCCAUUAACUUCCUUUCAGUCUCAGUUCAGGCCUCAGAAGCAAACUGGAGGCUUUCAGAGGCGUUUUCCUUUGGAUUUAUCAGGAGUUGCUGCCUAGUUUUUGGAGAGGAGCGCAUUGUCGCAGCUAUUAAAUCAUUACAGCCUCCACAUUUCAGUCGGGUAGCUUGAGUGAGCCUCCACCCCGCCGCGAGAGACCCUCCGGAACUUGCCACCGCAUUUUCGGGGAGCGAGACCGUCCCCCUUCAUCAUCUGCACUGUGAUCACUUCCCCGCCUCCCAGUCUUUAUCUCCAUUGUCUCCCACAUCUUCCCAAACUGAUUUGGUCUUAAAAUCCAGUUCCCAUCUCACCACCCCGCAGCUCAGAAAAGCUUUCCUGGCUCUCUGUCGGGUGAGAAUAAACACUUUGCCGUGUUACGGUUUAGAAUUCUCAUGUGCUCAAAGGUGGGGCUUUGGCAUGGUGAUUAGGUCACGGAGGUGCUGUACUCAUUAAUGAAUGCAUUCCUUGAUGAGGUCAUAGCUAAAGUGCUGCAGGGGUGAGGGCCUGGUCAGAAGAGGUGGAUACUGGGGCCAUGAUCUGCGAGGACGUAUUCUCGUCCCUGGGUCCUCCUUCCUCUCCUUCCUGGAGCCAUAGGUUGAGCAGCUUUCCUCUGCCGUGCGCUUCCACCUCGCUCUUUCUGCCUUGGAGCCAGACAGCCAUGCACUGGACGCCCUGAAAUGGUGAACCAAAAUAAAUCUCCUUUAAAUCACAGGGGUCAGGUAUUUUGUCCCAGUGAUGGGAGAGUGACUGAGGCGCGCUGGCCUCUUGAACAUUUCAUGGUCAUAACACUGGCCGAAGGAGUUGGGGUGCGUGCGCAAGGGGUGGAAUGGAUAUCGAUGAGGUUCAGGAAGCAAUAUGACCUGUAGUGAUCAACAUUAGUGACGCUGGGAAGAGACCCAGAAGGGGAAUAGCCGGCUCAAAGGAGGCCUCUAAUUCCAGGUUUUGAGGAAUUGAUAUAUGUGCACCCAUGUUUAUAGCAGCUCAAUUUGUAAGAGCUAAAUCUUGGAAAUAACCCAAUUGCCCAACA